AGAGAGAAAUGUUCUUUCUUCUUUUUUUUUUUUUUUUAAAUUUUUUUCUUUUUUUUCUUUUUUAGUUACUCGCCGUGAAGAAGUCUUUUACGAGACGAAACUUUUUUUUUUUUAAUAUUUCGUGCUGUAGAUAGUGUGUAUCCCGCAGUGUAGCGCGCGUGUAUAUAAACGUACUCGCACCUACGUUCAAAAAAAAAAAAAAAAAAAAAAAGAAAAGAAAAAAAAAAAGAAAAUAAUACAGAAAAACAAAAAAAAAAAAGAACAAGAAAAAAGAUCACGUUUCUUGCGGUGAUAUUGUUGUUUGGAGAAAAAAGAAAAUAAAGUAAAUAGAUAAAAAAUAAGGAAAAAAUGUGGAAAAAGAAAAGAUAAAAAAAGAAACAAAAAAAAAAAAAAGAAUUACGCGAAGAUAAGGCGAAGAGUCCAAAGGAAAUCUCAUAUUGAAUUUUAAAUAAGACUUAAGUAAUAAGAGGGAUGAAUAAUAAUGAUCGUGGAUAAAACACGACCUUGCUGCCGUUAUGCAGCGAUCUAGGUCAUAAAACUCGUUAGGCGAUUUUUAAUAUAAUAUGGCUGAUUGCUGGAUAAAAAGUAUGGUUGUGAGUAAAACAUGCCUGAGAUCGAGAUUGUAAUUUUGUUACUACUACUCCUGUACACCUGUCCCAUAGAAGGACUGUUAUACAUAUAUUGUUACACAGUGAUAUUGUAUUCCAAGGAUUGAGUUUGUAUGCUUUAGUCCUAACUUUACGAAUUGGGUAAGAUGAUUUGGACCAAGAGCGACGAUCGAUGAUAUUGUCUCUAUGGUCAUGCAUUUUGCUGGGAACAGGCUGUAUCGUUAUAUCGUCAUGAUAUUCAUUAUUCCAAUGUAUAAUUCGAUAAUACAAAUGCUCUAUCUUGCUUUCCUUUCAUUACUUCUGUAAGAUAUUUAAAUAAGUAUAGAAACAAAUAAUUAGUCAAUGCUGCAUUUUUGAUAGAUUAAAAUAUUUGGUUCAUAAAACGCUUUGAUAUUUUCUGUUCGUUCAUUUUUCUUUUUUCCAACGUAACGUUCUCUCAACAUUAUUUAUAUUUCAUUCGUUAAAUGCAAUAUAAGCGCAGUCUGCGUGUAGAUCUCAAUUUUUGUACGAACGUUGUAAUAUUUUCAUUCACGCACACAACGUGUUGUGUUAAGAUUGAAAGAGUGUUUUGUUUUCUUUCUCUCUUUUUUUCUUUUUUUUUUCUUUUUUUUUUUUUUUUUUCAAACAAACAUAUUCAUGAUUUUUGAUCACAACUUCUUAUAUUACCGACAAUUAAAUUGUAGCUAUUUAUUCCACUUGAUAUCAAAGAAUUACCUGUGUGUUCAGUUAUGCAUAGUUUAUCGACAUAACAUUCAAUAAGAGAUGCUCAGCAAAUAAUAGCUAUUUUUAUGGAAUUGGCAGCUCGUGCUUGUUGGUAAUUUCAUCUGAGUAUGUAUGCAUGCGCAUUUGACAAAGAGAACUCAGAAAAACAUGCAGAUCUUUUUUGACAUACAUAUUUGUGAAAGUAAAUAUAAGGGGAGGGAGUCAGUGUAACUAAAUGUUAUUUUGUACAUAGAAAGGAAGCAUUGCACCAAGGGGAAAAAAUGCACAUAAGAAAAUAAAGAAAUGCUAAGAAAAGCCCAAAGUAAAGAGAGUGUAGUAGCUUCGACGUUCUCUCACUCCCUCACCAAUUGCGCGCGCGCGCACAUACCAUACACACACGUGUAUACAUAUAUAUGUAUAUAACAAUGAAUAAUAAACUGUGUAUUAUUAUA